UCCUAAGGGCUCGACUGCACCCACAAAUGAUGAGAUCUGUGAUCAAGUGCUUGGUAUGAGAUCCUAUUAUGUUAGGAGUUUAGGGUAUGGGAUCACUGCUCCCUCAUCCUCACGCUCAUCUAGGGCUGACAUCCAUGCUGCCUACGAUGCUCGGGUGAUGGAGGUACAGAGGCAGGCUACUGAGGAUCGAUAGCGAGCUCAUAAGUUGGCUACAUGCAUC
rnacentral:lncRNA from 1 species